rnacentral:rRNA from 1 species
GACGAACGCUGGCGGCGUGCUUAACACAUGCAAGUCGAACGGAAAGGCCCCUUUGGGGGUACUCGAGUGGCGAACGGGUGCGUAACACGUGAGUAACCUGCCCUUGACUUCGGGAUAACUUCAGGAAACUGGGGCUAAUACCGGAUAGGAAUCCUUGCUGCAUGGUGGGGGUUGGAAAGCUUCGGCGGUUUUGGAUGGACUCGCGGCGUAUCAGCUUGUUGGUGGGGUAGUGGCUUACCAAGGCUUUGACGGGUAGCCGGCCUGAGAGGGCGACCGGCCACAUUGGGACUGAGAUACGGCCCAGACUCCUACGGGAGGCAGCAGUGGGGAAUAUUGCACAAUGGGCGGAAGCCUGAUGCAGCAACGCCGCGUGCGGGAUGACGGCCUUCGGGUUGUAAACCGCUUUCAGCAGGGGCGAAGCUUGUGGUGACGGUACCUGCAGAAGAAGCACCGGCUAACUACGUG